rnacentral:miRNA from 1 species
UACAAACAAAGCAUUUGUUUGA